rnacentral:rRNA from 1 species
GACGAACGCUGGCGGCGUGCUUAACACAUGCAAGUCGAGCGGUAAGGCCCUUUCGGGGGUACGACGAGCGGCGAACGGGUGAGUAACACGUGGGUGACCUCGCCCUCCAGCUCUGGGAGUAAAGCCUCGGGAAACCGGGUACGUAAUACUGGAUAUGACUCCAUGACGCAUGUUGUGGGGUGGAAAGCCUUGUGCGGCUGAGGAGUGGGCCCGG